UUUUGGACAAUGGGCGCAAGCCUGAUCCAGCCAUGCCGCGUGAGUGAAGAAGGCAUUCGGGGUGUAAAGCUCUGUCGGACGGAAAGAAAUCGCGCAGGCUAAUACCCUGCGCGGAGUACGGUACAGCCCGAAGAAGCACCGGCUAACUACGUGCCAGCUGCCUCGGUAAUACGUAGGGUGCGAGCGUUAAGCGGAAUUACUGGGCGUAAAGCGUGCGCGUGCGGUUGAUUAAGACAGGCGUGAAAGCCCCAGGACUUACCUGGGAACGGGGCUUGUGACUGGUCAACUAGAGUACAGCAGAGGGGGGUAGAGUUCCACGUGUAGCGGUGAAAUGCGUAGAGAUGUGGAGGAACACCGAUGGCGAACGCAGCCCCCAGGGCCGAUACUGACGCUCAUGCACGAAAGCGUGGGUAGCAAACCGG
rnacentral:rRNA from 1 species